rnacentral:rRNA from 1 species
AACGGCCUACCAAGGCGACGAUGGUUAGCUGGUCUGAGAGGAUGAUCAGCCACACUGGAACUGACACACGGUCCAGACUCCUACGGGAGGCAGCAGUGAGGAAUUUUGCGCAAUGGGGGAAACCCUGACGCAGCAACGCCGCGUGAGUGAUGAAGGCUUUCGGGUCGUAAAGCUCUGUCAAGUGGGAAGAAUCCGCACCGAACGAAUAGCUCGGGGCGCUGACGGUACCACUGAAGGAAGCACCGGCUAACUCCGUGCCAGCAGCCGCGGUAAUACGGGGGGUGCAAGCGUUAUUCGGAUUCAUUGGGCGUAGAGCGCGUAGGCGGUCCUUUAUGUCAGGUGUGAAAGCCCGAGGCUCAACCUCGGAAGUGCACUUGAAACUGAAGGACUUGAGUAUGGGAGAGGGAAGUGGAAUUCCUGGUGUAGCGGUGAAAUGCGUAGAUAUCAGGAGGAACACCGGUGGCGAAGGCGACUUCCUGGACCAAUACUGACGCUGAGGCGCGAAGGCGUGGGGAGCAAACAGGAUUAGAUACCCUGGUAGUCCACGCAGUAAACGAUGAACACUAGGUGUAGCGGGUAUUGACCCCUGCUGUGCCGCAGUUAACGCAUUAAGUGUUCCGCCUGGGGAGUACGGCCGCAAGGUUAAAACUCAAAGGAAUUGGCGGGGGCCCGCACAAGCGGUGGAGCAUGUGGUUUAAUUCGACGCAAUGCGAAGAACCUUACCUAGGUUUGACAUCCCGGGAAUCCUUAUGAAAAUAAGGAGUGCCCUUCGGGGAGCCCGGGGACAGGUGCUGCAUGGCUGUCGUCAGCUCGCGUCGUGAGAUGUUGGGUUAAGUCCCGCAACGAGCGCAACCCCUAUCUUUAGUUGCCAGCAUUUAGUUGGGGACUCUGAAGAUACUGCCCCGGUCAACGGGGAGGAAGGUGGGGAUGACGUCAAGUCCUCAUGGCCUUUAUGCCUAGGGCUACACACGUGCUACAAUGGGCAGUACAAAGGGUUGCAACACUGUGAAGUGGAGCUAAUCCCGUAAAGCUGCUCUUAGUUCGGAUUGGAGUCUGCAACUCGACUCCAUGAAGCUGGAAUCGCUAGUAAUCAUGGAUCAGCACGCCAUGGUGAAUACGUUCCCGGGCCUUGUACACACCGCCCGUCACACCAUGAGAGUUGGUUGUACCAGAAGUUGUCGGGCUAACCCUUCGGGGGUGCAGGCACCUAAGGUAUGGCUGAUGAUUGGGGUGAAGUCGUAACAAGGUA